rnacentral:rRNA from 1 species
CCAAUAGCGUAUAUUAAAGUUGUUGCAGUUAAAAAGCUCGUAGUUGAAUUUCGAGAUCAGUACGCUGGUCGUGCCUUCGGUAUGCACUGGUGUCACUGGUUUCUCCCUUCUGAAGAACCGUUAUGUCAUUAAGUUGGUGUGGCGGGGAAUCAGGACUGUUACUUUGAAAAAAUUAGAGUGUUUAAAGCAGGCUCGCGCUUGAAUACAUUAGCAUGGAAUAAUGAAAUAGGACGUUUGACCCUAUUUUGUUGGUUUCUAGGAUCGACGUAAUGAUUAAUAGGGAUAGUUGGGGGCAUUAGUAUUCAAUUGUCAGAGGUGAAAUUCUUGGAUUUAUUGAAGACUAACUACUGCGAAAGCAUUUGCCAAGGAUGUUUUCAUUAAUCAAGAACGAAAGUUAGGGGAUCGAAGACGAUCAGAUACCGUCGUAGUCUUAACCAUAAACUAUGCCGACUAGGGAUCGGAUGAUGUUAAUUUUUUAAUGACUCAUUCGGCGCCUUACG